AUACGUAGGUGGCGAGCGUUGUCCGGAUUUACUGGGCGUAAAGGAUGCGUAGGCGGAUAAAUAAGUGAGAUGUGAAAUACCCGGGCCUAACCUGGGGGGUGCAUUUCAAACUGUUUGUCUAGAGUACAGGAGAGGAAAGUGGAAUUUCUAGUGUAGCGGUGAAAUGCGUAGAUAUUAGGAAGAACACCAGUGGCGAAGGCGGCUUUCUGGACUGUUACAGACGCUGAGGCAUGAAAGCAUGGGUAGCGAACAGGAUUAGAUACCCUGGUAGUCCAUGCCGUAAACGAUGAAUACUAGGUGUAGGAGGUAACGAUACCUUCUGUGCCGCCGUAAACACAUUAAGUAUUCCGCCUGGGGAGUACGAUUGCAAGAUUAAA
rnacentral:rRNA from 1 species